AUAAAUAAAUAGCCGUAAAUAUUUACGCUAAGGUAGCAUAAUCAUUAGCUUUUUAAUUAAAAGAUAGAAUGAAAGGAAAUACGAAAUAUAAUCUUUUUAUAAAUUUAUUAAUUAAUUUAAAACAAAAGUAAAAAUUCUUUUAUUAUUAAAAUAGACGACAAGACCCUAAAAACUUAAUAUUUAGCUGGGGAGGCUAUUAAAAAAACCUUAAAAACAAUAAAAGACCAAUCUUAAAUAAACAGUUUUAGAAAAAGUUACUUUAGGGAUAACAGCGCAAUUUUGUUUGAAAGCUCUAAUAUAAAACAACUUCUACGACCUCGAUGUUGAAUUAAUAAUUCUAAUUAAAAGACGCAAAAGUCUAUAAAGAAGGUCUGUUCGACCAUUAAAAAAUU
rnacentral:rRNA from 1 species